CCGAAGGGGGUAGUCGAUGGACAAUCAGUUAAUAUUCUGAUACCACCUUUACUUUCGAUGGGGUGACGGAGUAGUGAAAGUCCCGCGUACUGACGGAAUAGUACGUUAAAGGGUGUAGUUAUAGGCUGUGUAGGCAAAUCCGCACGGCUUGAUGAACCUGAUAGUACCACAAUGCUUCGGCAGCGUGGAUAGUGGACCUAAUCAGACUUCCAAGAAAAACCUCUAAGCAUAUGUAUAUGGUGCCCGUACCGCAAACCGACACAGGUAGUCGAGGAGAGUAUCCUAAGGUGCUCGAGUGAUUCAUGGCUAAGGAACUAGGCAAAAUGACCCUGUAACUUCGGGAGAAGGGGUCCCUACGUGAGUAGGGCGCAGCGAAACGAUCCAGGCGACUGUUUAUCAAAAACACAUGGCUUUGCGAACUUGAAAGAGGAAGUAUAAGGCCUGACACCUGCCCGGUGCUGGAAGGUUAAGGGGGGGAGUUAGCUUCGGCGAAGCUCUGAACUGAAGCCCCAGUAAACGGCGGCCGUAACUAUAACGGUCCUAAGGUAG
rnacentral:rRNA from 1 species